rnacentral:rRNA from 1 species
GUCGAGAAUCUUUCACAAUGGGGGCAACCCUGAUGGAGCGACGCCGCGUGGAGGAUAAGGUCUUCGGAUUGUAAACUCCUGUCAUGCGUGAACAAGGUUGCUUGGUUAAUACCUGGGCAAAUUGAUGGUAACGCAAGAGGAAGAGACGGCUAACUCUGUGCCAGCAGCCGCGGUAAUACAGAGGUCUCAAGCGUUGUUCGGAAUCACUGGGCGUAAAGGGUGCGUAGGUGGCGUGGUAAGUCAGAUGUGAAAGCCCGGGGCUCAACCUCGGAACUGCAUCUGAUACUGCCAUGCUAGAGUACUGGAGAGGUGACUAGAAUUCUCGGUGUAGCAGUGAAAUGCGUAGAUAUCGAGAGGAAUACCAAAGGCGUAGGCAGGUCACUGGACAGUUACUGACACUGAGGCACGAAGGCCAGGGGAGCGAACGGGAUUAGAUACCCUUGUAGUCC